ACGCGACAACACCGCAAAAACCUAAACCCGCUAACCCAUUUUCAACAUGAACCAACCUCACUUGCAACCCUAAACCCGAUUCUCACAACCAACAACCCGUAACCAACCCGUUUGUAGCCUCCUUCACACAUCCCACGCAAGUUCAUGCGAAGAAAACCCUCGAAUCUUCUAGAAAUAAGUCGAGGUGUCCUCUCAGCGUAUCAAUUCCGUGAAUCUCGGGUAUGGGAGUAUAAUUUCGUACAUGUAUGUCACAAUUUUAUUGGCUUAUGGUGAAAAUCCGUUUUGCCUAAAUCUUAUUGGUCCACCGAUUUGGAAAUCGGUACAAUUUGUUGGGGGAACCUAAUUGGGAGUUAAAAUAUUUUGAAUUCUCUUUGGAAAAGGAAUCCCUAAAUUACCCUCAAUUGGAUUCUAUAUAAAGAGCUUACUAUUGAGCUGAAAAGGGGGAUUUUUCAGCUUUUUCCUUUUUGGAUUUGGGGAAAAUCGGGGGAUUUUUUAUUCUUUCCAGGCUGGGGAUUUUGGGGUUUGAAAUUUUGGAUGGUCUUUUGAGGGUUCGAAAUUGGAAGGAUUUUUUUUUAGGACUGGCCUCUCCUUUAUGGGUUUAAAAUCUUGGAAGUAAAGGGAUUCGAAAGUCGAGGGGGUUGAGAAAAUUUGGAUUGGGGGAGUUCUUAGAAAAACUAGGUCUAAAGAGGGGGGAAAAAGUGAGCCAUUCUUAGCAAAAUUGAUAAAUCCUUUCAUUUUAGUAAAAAUUUGAAGCUCGUCGAAAUUGUUCGAAGUAGCUGGUAGGACUUUUCCGAUGGUUACGAAUUUGGUGAUAGCUCGAGUUCUAUUCUGCUGCUCCCUAAAAGCUUUUCUUUGCAUCCACCCCCCUUGGAGCCCAAAUGGGCUUCUUCUCACUUUGCAUUUCAUAAAUGGGCCAAUGAGGCCAAUCCUUCCGAGUUAAGCCCGAAUGAAAGCCCAAAGUUGAGCACGUCGCAUAUGGAUAUGAGAAGUCGAAAGAGGACUAAUGGAUUAAAAUCUCAUCUUUGAAGUGGCCAAGGGAUUAGAACAUUUCUUUUCUUUUAUUUGUUUAUUUAUUUUGUCGUCUUUUAUUUAUUUGUUUAUUUAUUUAUUCCUUUAUUUCAUUUGGGCCUCGAAGCAAAAGUUGUAAAUUUAAUGCAGGUAGAGCGAGACUCAAGCCAAAGUCUCGAAAACUAGACUAAGACAGGUGAAAUGGGUUGAAAACCCAACUAGAUUAGGACAGGGCCGAUGGUUUGGGCUUGAAAGCCUAAAUAACUACUUCCCCGCUUUUCUCCCCUUUUUCUUUCAUUUACUUAUUUACAUGUUUCUUUGCAAACUUAGUUAAAAUCCCUAACUAAGUCGCCUAAAAACUAGUUUUGCAUAAACACUAAAAUAUCACUAAAAUUGCUUUUCUUUGCAGAAAUCAACUUUUUUCCAAAGUUAGUCAAAGACAAUUUUCAAACAGUCCGGAUAACCGCAAGUUAGCGGAUGUUUUAAGUGCCUAACACCUUCCUAAAAUGUUAAUAGGAACCGCUUAUCUAGAAUCUCUAACUUAAAAUGAUUUUCCUAUUUUGGAUUGUUUGAAGUAACUUUUAUAAAGGUUUCUUAAUUCCUUUUCAAAAUUAAGUGGCAACUCUCUUUCAAAAGUCAAAAUUUCUCUGCAAAACAUGAGCAAUAAUUCUGAACCUUGCAACUACAAUUUUCUAGGUCACCUCUAGAAUACAAACUAUUGCAACUAUAAUUUCCUAGGUCACCUCUAGAAUAAAAACCAUCAGAAUCUAGGUCAACUCAACCAUUCCCUUCCCCUUCCCCAUAUUAUAAUCAACAAUCUCCUCCACAAUACACAACAAACACUCAACCAAAGACCUAUUAUCCUUCCACUGCCCCCAAACAAAAUGACAACUUUCCUUCAAGUACCCGGCAAACCUACUGAUUACCGAAUAGAAUUUAGUAUUACAUUGACCAAAUCAUACAUUAAUCUUGAUGGAGUGGUAAUUUUUAAUUUCUUCUUAAAUGAGGAUUCUAUGUUUCUUUGUUAUUUUAAUUUAAUUUUUGUUAUCUUUCAAAUUUGAGUAAUUCGUCGAUCUUUUACCCCCUUUAUAGUGGAUACCACAAGAGGUUAGUCAAUACUUCCCAAGCGAUCCGACGCCAUUAAACAUUAUUCAUUGUGGUAUUAAAAAGACAUAUAAAGCUAAGGUUGCCUACUGCAGGUAUCAGAAAAGGUGGAGGAUAUAUGACGGGUGGAGAUAUUUUAUUUGUGAUGCGGGUUUUUGGAUAGGAGAUGUUUUGGACACCGCGAUCUCCUAUAAUGUUUCCAAACAUGUCUUUUUAUCUGUCCAACACAUAAUCAAUGUGUGAAGUUGUUUUCAAGAUGUACAAAUUUUAAAUAUAUAAAGAUAACCGUUGUUUUGGUGCUUGGAUUA